CCUACGGGAGGCUGCAGUGAGGAAUAUUGGUCAAUGGACGAGAGUCUGAACCAGCCAAGUAGCGUGAAGGAUGACUGCCCUAUGGGUUGUAAACUUCUUUUAUAUGGGAAUAAAAUGUUCCACGUGUGGGAUUUUGUAUGUACCAUAUGAAUAAGGAUCGGCUAACUCCGUGCCAGCAGCCGCGGUAAUACGGAGGAUCCGAGCGUUAUCCGGAUUUAUUGGGUUUAAAGGGAGCGUCGGUGGAUUGUUAAGUCAGUUGUGAAAGUUUGCGGCUCAACCGUAAAAUUGCAGUUGAAACUGGCAGUCUUGAGUACAGUAGAGGUGGGCGGAAUUCGUGGUGUAGCGGUGAAAUGCUUAGAUAUCACGAAGAACUCCGAUUGCGAAGGCAGUUCACUGGACUGCAACUGACACUGAGGCUCGAAAGUGUGGGUAUCAAACAGGAUUAGAUACCCGUGUAGUC
rnacentral:rRNA from 1 species